rnacentral:rRNA from 1 species
GAUGAACGCUGGCGGCGUGCCUAACACAUGCAAGUCGAACGAGGCUCGCGCGGGCGGAAGGGGGCUUGCCCCCGGAAGCCGGCGCGUGUCCGAGUGGCGGACGGGUGAGUAACGCGUGGGCAACCUGCCCCAUACUGGGGGAUAACGGCCGGAAACGGCCGUCAAUACCGCAUAAGCGCACGGUACCGCAUGGCACUGUGCGAAAAGCCCCGGCGGUAUGGGAUGGGCCCGCGUCUGAUUAGCUUGUUGGCGGGGCAACGGCCCACCAAGGCGACGAUCAGUAGCCGGCCUGAGAGGGUGGACGGCCACAUUGGGACUGAGACACGGCCCAAACUCCUACGGGAGGCAGCAGUGGGGGAUAUUGCACAAUGGGGGGAACCCUGAUGCAGCGACGCCGCGUGGGUGAAGGAGCGUUUCGGCGCGUAAAGCCCUAUCGGCAGGGAAGAUUGUGACGGUACCUGACUAAGAAGCCCCGGCUAACCACGUGCCAGCAGCCGCGGUAAUACGUGGGGGGCGAGCGUUAUC